rnacentral:rRNA from 1 species
CCUACGGGCGGCUGCAGUCGAGAAUCAUUCACAAUGGGGGAAACCCUGAUGGUGCGACGCCGCGUGGGGGAAUGAAGGUCUUCGGAUUGUAAACCCCUGUCAUGUGGGAGCAAAUUAAAAAGAUAGUACCACAAGAGAAAGAGACGGCUAACUCUGUGCCAGCAGCCGCGGUAAUACAGAGGUCUAAAGCGUUGUUCGGAAUCACUGGGCGUAAAGCGUGCGUAGGCUGUUUCGUAAGUCGUGUGUGAAAGGCGCGGGCACAACCCGCGGACGGCACAUGAUACUGCGUGAAUAGAGUAAUGGAGGGGGAACCGGAAUUCUCGGUGUAGCAGUGAAACGCGUAGAUAUCGAGAGGAACACUCGUGGCGAAGGCGGGUUCCUGGACAUUAACUGACGCUGAGGCACGAAGGCCAGGGGAGCGAAAGGGAUUAGAUACCCUUGUAGUC